rnacentral:lncRNA from 1 species
AAGGUUGCAAUUAACUCAAGACAAAAAUAAAGUUUUAGAAGUAAGGCAUCUUAAAUCUAUUAAGAGUAGUCUUUCUUCUAAACAUCUUUAUAUAUUAUUGGGUCAAAUAAAACUAAUUGAAGCUAUAUUUCAUACUUAUUGCAGAUUGAUAUUUGAUCUAGGAGGAAUUUUUGUGAAGCCAAAAAAAAUAAGUCCUCACAAUAAAGAUGACCCACAAGAUUUGAGGACAAAUCCUUUCCAAGGGGGAGGGGAUGAUGACUUGGGCCAGUUGCUCCAGUUUGGGUCAAACCAGCACAAGGAGAAGGGGAGAAAUGUCCAAGAAAAUGAAGAAUAAAGUUGCUUGGCGCACCCCCAUUUUACUAAGCACACNGUGUCAUUUCUUUUACAUUUAGGCACAUGUAGAACUUGUAGCUUAGGAGUUUCUGGCAUCUUAUGCAUUUGCUGCACACUUUCAAUGCUUGGACACNUGNAUUGUGAUCCAUUUCAUACGGGAUUCAUCCCCACCGCAUACANCUAGGAGGAUUUACUAUAAAUCCACCAUAGCACCCUUGUAUAAACACUUUUGGAUCAUCUAUGAAUUUAGUCUUUGCUGAUGCAUUCCCAGCACACUGAAUUCUGCUGAAAGUCACUUCCUCUUGAGCUUUCCAUUUCCCAUCUAGCUUCCUUCUAGUGGNAGGCUGCCUGAGCUAGCUUCCAUCCACCGUUAAGCUNUUCAUCCACCAAAUUCCUCACGCAAACAUCAUCGUCUGCUACUGCCAAUUCACAGAAAUUUNCUCUGUUGCCUGCUAUUUUCUGCAUCACCGUUGUCCACUACGUUUUGGAUCUUCCNCUGC